rnacentral:lncRNA from 1 species
UAUGUGUUUUUGUAUUUUUUUUCUCACUUAUUGAUGAUUUCUCAUGCUAGAGCUUGUAUUUAUUAUUUUAUUUUUUUGGAAUUUUAAAAUUAUUCUUCAUCAAUGUAGGUCAUUGCUUCAUGUACCCUUACACUUUUUUUCCUUCCUGAACUUAAAUAUUUUCAUUUUACCCUUUAGAAAAUAUUUAAUUAAAUCUUUUUUUUAUCAACAGAUGAUAGUUGUCCGUUUUUGUUAGUGAUGAAAGUUAAACCCGUAAUCUUUUUCAGUCUCCUUUCUAAACUCUUUAAACUAACCAUAUAUCUUCUUCCAAAUAUUAGUGAGAGGAAUUGAAUCCAUAACCUCUCACACCAUUCUUCUAACUUUAAUUAUUAGGUCAAUCUUAUAACUUCAGUCAAACCCUAAUUUGAAAUCCAAUUUUCGUCUUGUGUCCCUCCAUCUACCCUUUGUUCCUUCCCUGUCCCCUUACAUUUUGCCUCCCUCUACAUUGUGCCUCCCUUCCCUCUACAUUGUGCCUCCCUUUAUCAAGAACACUCCUUCACCCCUUAUUGAGGCAUGUCAACAUGUUAUGGCAUAAGCCCAACACCACAAUUCUAAGGGAGGAAGAAGACAUUAGAAGUAGGUGCAUACAUUCACGAUUCGUUGUUCCGAAAAAUAUUUUUUUCCCACUACCAAAAUUUGUCUCAUGCAUUUGAGCCUAUCCACCCCAAAUUAAUG